rnacentral:sRNA from 1 species
AGAGGAAGGAGAAGUCGUAACAAGGUUUCCGUAGGUGAACCUGCGGAAGGAUCAUUGUCGAGACCUCUGCCCAGCAGAACGACCCGCGAACUCGUGAAAACACCGGAGAGGGGGCGCRAGCUCCCCUCCACCCGCCCCGGGUGCGGGACCCGUCCCGUUCCCCGCGGCGGACCAACGAACCCACGGCGCGGACUGCGCCAAGGAAAUCUAACGAGAGAGCACGCUCMUGGGGCCCCAGACUCGGUGCGCCCCGGGACGCGGCGCCUUCUUUCACUUUAGUCCAUAACGACUCUCGGCAACGGAUAUCUCGGCUCUCGCAUCGAUGARAACGCAGC